AAAUCUAAUAGUGAUAAAAAUAAACAAUGCAAUAGGUGCAUGUAGUUAAACAUUUUUAUUUUUGCUGUUGAAAAUAAUGCACAAACCUUACAGUUUAUUUACAGGUAUCCUUGUUGACACAUGUUGUUCCCCUCAACGAGUCACUGCUAUAUGUCUUUUUUUGCCGUAUAACGGUUAUAAGCUUUCAAGCAUAAUAAUAUACAUAAAAAU